AGUGAACGCUGGCGGUAGGCCUAACACAUGCAAGUCGAACGGCAGCACAGUAAGAGCUUGCUCUUACGGGUGGCGAGUGGCGGACGGGUGAGGAAUACAUCGGAAUCUACUUUUUCGUGGGGGAUAACGUAGGGAAACUUACGCUAAUACCGCAUACGACCUACGGGUGAAAGCAGGGGAUCUUCGGACCUUGCGCGAUUGAAUGAGCCGAUGUCGGAUUAGCUAGUUGGCGGGGUAAAGGCCCACCAAGGCGACGAUCCGUAGCUGGUCUGAGAGGAUGAUCAGCCACACUGGAACUGAGACACGGUCCAGACUCCUACGGGAGGCAGCAGUGGGGAAUAUUGGACAAUGGGCGCAAGCCUGGUCCAGCCAUACCGCGUGGGUGAAGAAGGCCUUCGGGUUGUAAAGCCCUUUUGUUGGGAAAGAAAAGCAGCAGGUUAAUACCCCGCUGUCCUGACGGUACCCAAAGAAUAAGCACCGGCUAACUUCGUG
rnacentral:rRNA from 1 species